UACAAGACGGGUUCGUCUGCAGACGAGGUAGGGGUCUAGGGGCGAGCGGGGAUGACGUUGUGUGUCCGGCUAAGGCGCGGCGACCAAGAGGUGGAGGGGAGGGAGAGGAGUGAUGUCCUGCGGCGGCCCGCUUCGAGCCGAGCGCAGCCGCCGCGGCCCCAGUGAGAGGACGGAGCUCGUCGCAGCCGCCGCGCCCUACGUCGCCCGAGCCGGACACAGUGGCUGCGCUCACAGGGAGAGCUCGCCGCCGCCACCGCCUAAGUCGCCUGCGCCCGGCACCGCCGUCGCCGCCGCCACCUGCGUCGCCCGAGCCGGACGCAGCCGCCGCCGCCCAGGUAGAGGAAGGAGCUUAUCGUCGCCCGAGCGCGGGGUGCUAAAUAAGCUGAGGCCGCUAAACAGUUGAAGACGAAAUCGCCGCGGCGUUGCCUCGUGAGACAGCCCGGGGAACCGCCCUAGCCGCAGGCCUAGUAGAGCGCGGAGGCGUUCCCCCUACCCUGACGAGCCCGAGUAGACGUUCUCGGGGAGCGGCGGUACGGCGGACGACGGCGACUGUGGCAGUUGCCGUCGCCUGCUCGUCCUCUCUAGGACAGCUAGACUACCGUUUUCCCGCUCUAUUGGCCGAGGACAUACAAAACCUUCCAGAUGGAGCUCUAUUUAAACCUGUGGCCGUUCGAGGAGAGUCAUUUCGUUCAGCACCCUAAACCCCUAAACGUGCAAAACCAAAAGACCAAACAUGCAUAACAGAUUUCUGAACCUCAGUAAGCAACGUCCAAUGUGGUUCAGAGAGGAAACAAACUAAAACCAAGGUCGAAACUAGCCCUCGUGGUUGGCGCUCGACCCUCUUUCGGGUUCACUCAUCGUGAAGGUGUCGUCUAACCAAUGGUUAAAUUAACAAGACUAAAAAGAAGUACACUCCACUAAAGACCGAAAACAAAGAUGAUAGUGCGCGUAUAUUCUCUUGAGCUCCUUCUUCACUUCGAGGAGUAAAAGACACCACUUGUCUAUUUAAAGCUGAUGUAUAGUCUAAGAAAAAAAAUUUGAACAUCGUGCAUCAAUGAAUUAGGUAAAGACACCAAAGUCUUCUUCAUGGAACUCUGACAGGCACUCCUUCUGUGCGACUUAUAGAACGAACUAAAACAAGGGGCGGGUGACGUGCGGCGACAGCUCUUGUGGAGACGAUGGAGGAGGGUUAGAGGCGGUGUUCUAAGAGGCAGGUCUAGGACCCGCUCCUUAUUUUUUUAAUCAAGAACUUCGAAGAGGUAGUACGGCCUGCCUGUUGACAUAGGCCGUGGCAGCGGUAGCGAAUACCUCAAGGUGUGGUAACGGGUCAACAUGCUCUCGUACAAGUUAGAAGAGGUAAGUUCUGAUACGUUCACCACUUGAGACGGUUUGUUCUUCUAUACUCCUAUACCGUAUAUACGGGGUAUUCCAUCGAUAUACCAUUAAGUACAUAACAUCAAACCUAAUGCCAGUGUGAAACUUCCCAUUCAUCUACUACGAGUUACUGUAUUGGACGUGACUAGAAGUGUCAGUAUAGUAGACUAUCUUCAAAUAACUUAAAGUAAAUUUAAAACAACAUACAAUAGGUACUACAUUCACCUCUAUCCUUCAAUUUGUUUUAAUUUUUAACGUCGUGUUUCCCCUACAGGUGGUUACUAAACUGUACUAUUCUACAAUCACUUCGUACCGUUUGAUACUGUAAUCGUUUUGAAUAUAAAUGUAUAUAAGUAUAUAUACUUAAAACCUUUACACGUAACGUGCAUAUAGCAUGCAGAGAAGUGAUAAGUUUUAUGAACAUGGGUGAUACUAAGGUAAAAAAUAAUAAAUGGAACUUCCUCAUAAUAUAAUUACAAUAAACAACAGGUGGAACUAGGAAGUGACGAUAAAAAGGAUGAUUCGUUGAAACGUACCUCAAUUCUAGUAAAGCAUUCUAAGACUAUACAAAAAGUUUAAGCGAAGGAAAUACGUACUUGGAUAGUAGUUCUAAAUCUGGAGAAUAUACCACGUACAUACGACGACAUUCUUCUUUACAUUAUAACAGGAGUAGUUAAAGAAAGAAUCGUACGUGUUACACAAUGUUGUAGUUAAAGUAACCAAACCUCUUCCACUAUUUGUACGUUGGCAAGAAUGAACUACUAUACUUACGAAGUAACCUCGUUAUAACCGGAAACAAACGUGUAAUCACAAGGUAAUACAUCAUUUUCUACACCAGACCAUCGGAAAGAAGUAACAAUGUCAAUAACAGUUUACCACCUUAUAACCACGGACCAUCGAGACCAAGUACAUUCGUACUGCUUUGUAGCAUUUUAGUAUAAAGAACAACAUAGUACUCAGUAUACUCUUUCUUCCAAUCCGCUAAAUACAAAAAUCAAAAAGAUAACGAGCACACAAUUUCUAGAUCCGUAUGUAAAGUCUAUAUUUAAACCCGUAUUUAACAGUGUUUAUCUACCCACCGCACCCAGUUCCAAGUCUUUGGGUCCCGUAGUACAAAGAAAGCUCGGUAUACUCCUCUUGAUGUAGGUACCAUCACCGAUGUUAUAUUAGUCUCUCGGUACAUGUACAACUAACAAUACUUUAGUACCCUACUUUAGAACUAGAGGCCACAGGUCUUUAGAUAAAAGAGUCUCUUUUUUAGCUACGCUCAAAUAUAACGACUACAAAGCAGUGCGUGGAAUUAAAGAAGAAGCCUAAUACUUUAUAAAUCCAAUUGUUCUACGGUACAUUCAACCCAACUCUAGACGAUAUGUCACCGAAAGAAAACAAGUUUAUAAAGUAAAAAAAAGUAAAAGUACGACAGCUUCAUAAACAUGAACACUAAAGGACUUCAAAACACUUUAUAACUUCCUAUAGAACCUUGCUGUUUCAAGGGUCAGAAGUACGAUCCACUAUCCUGUGACCGACGACUUCAACGAGUAACGGAGCGUAUUUUCUUACCUUAGAGGAAUAAAAAACGAUACAAAACGUGUACAACUAAUACUACCGUAACAAAACUUGUAAGAUAGGGUACAACUAUUUUUCAUCUACGAAACCAUACGGGAGAAACAAGAUCGAACCAACCAACUGACCAACAACAAGAUCCACAACAACUCUACUGGAUUCGAUUGUUGUUAAACUCGAACGGAGGUACCACAAACUAAUAUAAAUCCACCUGUUUUAGGGGGCCACUAUUAGGGUUUUUCUUUUAAACCGUAACUGCGUCCCGCAUCUCGCAACCACUACGGACUUUUCUUUUAAACCGUACCGUGCCCUCCAUUCCGCAACCACUACGGGUUUUUGUUCUAAACCGCACUACGCCCUCCAUCUCGCAACGUACGCCGUCGUUUCUAUGUUGGUACAAUUUUUUAAGUUUGGUAGCUGCCCUUCAUCUCACAACACACGCCGUCCUUUCUAUGUUGGUACAAGUUUUUAAGUUUGGUAGCCCCAGUGUCAACGUUCUACCCCUAGCCUACCGUACCUGUGUAAAUCGAUCGUUUCCAACAAGCGGCUUUAAUCUCAAACCUAAUAAUAUAUUAAAGUAACAUCUGGUUAAUGACAAUUUAGUAUUGUACAAUAAUACUAUUU
rnacentral:rRNA from 1 species